UUAAAAAAUUUUAAGUUCUUUCCCCAGGGGGCCCGACCUAAGUUGCAACUUGCGAACAUGUCUUCCGCACCCCAAAGAUAUCCUACGAGCGGGAAGUAGUGGAGCUCUAGGUUGUAACUUUUGACCGUUGAAGAAAUUCAUAUAGACAUAGUUGUUGCUGUGUUCUUCUUCUUUGUUUUGUUUAUAAUUGUGUAUUUUGAUUUUUUUGGUAUGUCAUCAGUUUAACGUCAAUUAUGAUUGCCGAUGCUUGUGUUCUCCGUAUGUUUUGGUCAUAUUUGGAAUUUGAAUGAGAUGAGCUGUGGAUUUAUUUUGGUUUUUGUUUCAGGAUGAGCAAAAUUUGCCGACAAUCACAUUUUAGGUUAAUGAGUUUCGUUUUUGCUUGUUACAUGAUGAGCUGUAAUUGUUAGUGAAUUAUAUUUUAGAUUAAUGAGUCUUUGGUUUGCUGAGGUUCCGAUGUGAGUUUUGUUCUUAAACUUUGGUAAUAAUGAUCAUUUACGGAUAUGCCUGUUGUAUCGUAGAAAUUUCUAUCGCUAACAUCAAAGACAUGCGAAAGAUGGAUGUUAAAAAAUUUUAAGUUCUUUCCCCAGGGGGCCCGACCUAAGUUGCAACUUGCGAACAUGUCUUCCGCACCCCAAAGAUAUCCUACGAGCGGGAAGUAGUGUUUCUAUGCAUUAGAUGGUCUCAUUUUACGUUUUUUUAAUCAAUCUCUCUGACAAAAACUUUAUUCUCUUGGAAUCAUGUCGUCUUAUUUUAUAUAUGUUCUAUUCGAUAAUAUUAUCGUAAUUCUUCACCAAUAUUUGCAGAUUUUUCUACCACGUUCUGGUUCCUGAAUUAGGCUUAUCUUACUCAACGUGUGUGACUUCUUGAGGUUUGUUUCUGUAGACAGAUUGUUGCCUGGCCAUCGAGACUGCCUCUUGUUAGAAACACAACGUGUAGUUGUUAGUACAAGAUGUCAUGUCACGUGGCCAUAUGGUUGGGAUACCUUUUUCUGGUCAAGAGAAUUGGCAGUUCAGAGUUUUCUUUGAGUUCCAUCAUAUGUUUGAAACUCUGAACGUCCAAUCAAGCUCAAGUGGUUUGGGUUUAUGAACACCACCAGUGGACUAAUUAUUGCUUUUAUUGUUCUUCCGUCUUUCCUCAUUGCAUAAAUAGUACAGUAUGCUGUGUACAGACUUUCGAGUCUAAAGGUUUCAAAAUAAGCAGAUCUAAGACAGAAUACUUGGAGUGCAAGUUUGGCGCCGAGCCGAGCGAGGUAGGCAGGGACGUGAUGAUUGGUUCUCAGGCCAUCGCCAAGAGGGACAGUGUCCGAUAUCUUGGG
rnacentral:lncRNA from 1 species